UACGUAGGGGGCAAGCGUUGUCCGGAAUCAUUGGGCGUAAAGGGCGUGUAGGCGGCCAGAUAAGUCCGCUGUGAAAUCUCGAGGCUCAACUUCGAGCUGUCGGUGGAAACUGUCUGGCUAGAGUCCGGAAGAGGAGAAUGGAAUUCCUGGUGUAGCGGUGAAAUGCGCAGAUAUCAGGAAGAACACCCGUGGCGAAGGCGGUUCUCUGGGCCGGUACUGACGCUGAGACGCGAAAGCGUGGGGAGCGAACAGG
rnacentral:rRNA from 1 species